UAGCCAGUUAGGCCCACCUUUAGAAUUGUCUCCGCCCCCUUGCCCUGAGCCAGCCCCUGAGGAGAGCCGCUCCGGCCAUCUGGCAUUGUGACGGAGCCCGCCUGUCCUGCUGCAUUUCCUGUCUUUCUGUGGCCCUCCUCCUCAUGGGAGGACCAUGCCUAUCUUCUGCCCCCUCACCACCAUGUCCAGCACCCAUCUGAGUCACCUGAGAGAGGGGGCUGUAAUGAUGCUCCUGGAUUCCAGAGGUCUCAGUCUGUGCAUCCCCAUUCUGGAAACUGGAAUUACCACCUGGCAUUGCAGCAAGCUGUAAUGGCAUAAAAAGUGUACAAAAUGUAGGACAUAUCAUCACAUACAUUUUAAUUCAAUUUAAUUAAAUUUCAGACCUUUAUAGUGUCCAGCUGUUCCAAUGAGUCACAGAAGACUUCACUCUCUGAGUCACUAGUCAGCCCCUGACCCUCAGGCAGAAAUGGCUCUACACAUACAGCAAUGAAAGAGAAGAAAUACAGCACACACACACAAUCUUAGCAUCAUUUAUUACAUAUGCAACUGUCAAUGUUUGAAAAGCAACUGUGGUCAGACAUGUCUGGAUAAUGAUCAAGACUGGUGCAUUUCAGCCAUAGUUGGCUUGGCUCCAAUAUCAUAUUGGAGUAAAAAAGUAAAAGGUAAAAUUG